GGUUGAAUUAUUAAUGAUUAAUGAACCAUUUAAAGGAUUUUCUUUAAUAAAUACGGUAUUAAAGAUGUCUCUCUUUAUAAUUUUAGUACUGGCUAUAUAGAAGUAAAGAAGAAAUCUGAUGAGAAAUAAAUUAAAGAUGAAAGGAGAAUAAAAAGCUGUAUAGUUCACAGAAAAUGUGAGAUGAGUCUUUCAUGGUUCAUGUGUUUUAGACGUGAUUGUAAUAAAAGAAUAAAGAAUUGUUUUCAUUAUA